UACAGAGACUGCAAGCGUUAUUCGGAUUCACUGGGCGUAAAGGGUGCGCAGGCGGUUGGGUGUGUCAGAUGUGAAAUCCCGAGGCUCAACCUCGGAACUGCGUCUGAAACUACUCGACUAGAGUACUGGAGAGGGUAACGGAAUUCACGGUGUAGCAGUGAAAUGCGUAGAUAUCGUGAGGAACACCAGAGGCGAAGGCGGCUACCUGGACCGGUUCUGACGCUGAUGCGCGAAAGCGUGGGUAGCAAACAGG
rnacentral:rRNA from 1 species